AUUUGUCUGGUUAAUUUCGAUAACGAACGAGACCUUAACCUGCUAACUAGUUCAUAAUACUCUGUAUUUUGCAACUUCUUAGAGGGACUAUGUAAAUCAAUUACAUGGAAGUUUGAGGCAAUAACAGGUCAGUGAUGCCCUUAUAUGUCCUGGGCUGCACGCGUGCUACACUGAUGCGUACAACAAGUGCCUAGCCAGACAUGGUAUGGCAAUCUCGAAUAUGCAUCGUGAUGGGGAUAGAUCUUUGCAAUUAUAGAUCUUGAACGAGGAAUUCCUAGUAAGUGCAAGUCAUCAUCUUGCAUUGACUAUGUCCCUGCCCUUUGUACACACCGCCCGUCGCUCCUACCGAUACCGGGUGAUCCGGUGAACCUUUUGGACUCUGUAAAGGGGAAGAUAAGUAAACCAUAUCACCUAGAGGAAGGAGAAGUCGUAACAAGGUUUCCGUAGGUGAACCUGCRGAAGGAUCA
rnacentral:rRNA from 1 species